rnacentral:rRNA from 1 species
AUUGAACGCUGGCGGCAGGCCUAACACAUGCAAGUCGAAUGGUAACAGGAAACAGCUUGCUGUUUCGCUGACGAGUGGCGGACGGGUGAGUAAUGUCUGGGAAACUGCCUGAUGGAGGGGGAUAACUACUGGAAACGGUAGCUAAUACCGCAUAACGUCGCAAGACCAAAGAGGGGGACCUUCGGGCCUCUUGCCAUCAGAUGUGCCCAGAUGGGAUUAGCUAGUAGGUGGGGUAACGGCUCACCUAGGCGACGAUCCCUAGCUGGUCUGAGAGGAUGACCAGCCACACUGGAACUGAGACACGGUCCAGACUCCUACGGGAGGCAGCAGUGGGGAAUAUUGCACAAUGGGCGCAAGCCUGAUGCAGCCAUACCGCGUGUAUGAAGAAGGCCUUCGGGUUGUAAAGUACUUUCAGCGGGGAGGAAGGGAGUAAAGUUAAUACCUUUGCUCAUUGACGUUACCCGCAGAAGAAGCACCGGCUAACUCCGUG